AGCUCAUUAUAUAUUGUCUUGCAUGAUGAAGACACUAGUGUUUAGAGUUAUGCAGCUGAUGCUCAUUGUUGUGCUAAUUUUGAUGGCUACUCCUCACUCGGGAGCAGCUUGCCGGCCGCUAUUGGUGCGGCCGCAGUGGUCGAGGGAAUUGGGACUGCUUUUCGAGUCUCUUCCAAAUGGCGCUUCUCCUGGAUCCGGUGGAGACAAAACUCAUCCUUAACCACCCACUACUUCGCGCCCCUGCAUGCCUUGCCUAACAAUACAUACUAACAUACGGAAUGGAGUAAUUACGACACGUCUCGCCUUUUUCCAUUCUUUACAAUUCUUUCUUUUUUUUAUGAAUUCCAUUUUCAUCGCUGCUUUAAUUUAAGCACGCAACAAUAAUGUAUAAUAUAUGUUCCACGGAUAAAAACUCAGGUGGAGUCGACUUUACGUGAAGUUGAUAAUUAAGAGCCGUUAGAUUAUUUGACUGAUUUGACUAAAUUUUCAUCUAACGGCUCUCAAUUAUCAACUUCACGUAAAGUCGACUGCACCUAAGUUUUCACCGUGUUCUAGGUCAAUAUAUAGCCCAAGCUAGCAUGUGUUAUGAAUUAUAUAUGAUUAUACUUGUGUAAAUUAAAGGAUACUCUCAACAAAUAAAGUUGUACCUAAUUAGCAGAAGCUCUGUGAUGAACAUACAUGCAUGGUAAAUUCCACAAAAUAAAUU
rnacentral:lncRNA from 1 species